CUGCACAAGUUAGUGGUUACUUGGGCAUGGUUGCUCUCUCAUUUCAGAGUCUCCUUUUGAAGUGGUUCAAAGGUAGAGAGCACUUUAGGAGAAUGGUGUGUUUUAAAACCUGGCUGGCAUUUACAAUGUUCUGCUCUGUUCUUCUCUGCAUUAGCUAUAAGAUAGUGGGCUUUAGUUUGCAGUAGAGAUCUUGUGGCUCAGGAGCCUGAAGAGUUUACUACUCAGCUCUGUGAAUCUUCUUUAAGAUGAUCUUUGAGAAUACCUUUCCAUGUCGUCCUUAAAGCAAGCUAUUGUCAUCCAUUGCUAGCAUUCAGAUUCUCAAGACAAGUAUGUCAUGAGAAAUGAACCUGCAAAGACUACCUGCUUUCUUACCACACUCAUUUCUCCUCACCACUUGUGCCUGCUGAAGGUGAGGAACAACUUCAGAAGAUGCAGAGUGAGUUUUGAUGGGAAAGAGACUCUUCAUGGGCUACUCUAGAACAAACAAUGGAAACGGAUCACAGGAAAGAAUGAAGGACAUGGUUCAUGUCUGAUUCAGGUGAUUUCUACAAACAGUUCCAGGAGCUUUCUCCAUUCUCCCAGUUGAGAUUGGCAUUAUGCUUAGAGAAGAAAAAGCGUCUCAAAAGAAAACUAGUCACUCUUGAGGUAGAAUUGCCUCACCUGAAGAGGGAGGAGGUAUUUUUCCUUUUCUCUGAGUCAAGAACUCAUGAUCACCAUCACCCAACCCUGCUCACACACACCCUGACCACCACGGGUCUCUAGGCACUUUAAAUUCUAUGAUUUAUAUGAACUCUUACAGGGACGCAGCUGUUCUCCUGGGCAUAUUCACAACACGUUUUUCCACCCACUCACCUCCCAAGGUGGGUUCUUAAGCAAGUAGCAAAAUGAGGUGUGGGCACUGACACAAAGACCAAUGAGGCAUUUUAAGAGAAGUUAAAUUCAGGAAGCUUUAGGGAAACAAACAAAAAUAAAUUUUAAGAAAUCUGUUUGCAUGGAAAGAUAAAACAAUAAUAGAAUGAGAGAGAGAGAGAGAGAGAGA
rnacentral:lncRNA from 1 species